GGAAGGGUCGCAUAGUGGUCGAGUGCACCGGUCUUGAAAACCGGAACCCAGUUUUACUGGGUCGCGAGUUCGAACCUCGCCCCUUCCGCCA
rnacentral:tRNA from 1 species